rnacentral:rRNA from 1 species
GUGGGGAAUAUUGGGCAAUGGGGGAAACCCUGACCCAGCAACGCCGCGUGAAGGAAGAAGGCUUUCGGGUUGUAAACUUCUUUUAUGAGGGAAGAUAAUGACGGUACCUCAUGAAUAAGCCACGGCUAACUACGUGCCAGCAGCCGCGGUAAUACGUAGGUGGCAAGCGUUGUCCGGAAUUAUUGGGUGUAAAGGGAGCGUAGGCGGAUUCGUAAGUUGAAUGUGAAACCAAUCGGCUCAACCGGUUGUUGCGUUCAAAACUGCGGAUCUUGAGUGAAGUAGAGGCAGGCGGAAUUCCUAGUGUAGCGGUGAAAUGCGUAGAUAUGGGGAGGAACACCAGUGGCGAAGGCGGCUUUCUGGACGGUGUCUGACACUGAGGCGCGAAAGCUAGGGGAGCGAACGGGAUUAGAUACCCUGGUAGUCC